ACGAACGCUGGCGGCAGGCUUAACACAUGCAAGUCGAACGCCCCGCAAGGGGAGUGGCAGACGGGUGAGUAACGCGUGGGAAUCUACCGUACCCUACGGAAUAACGCAUGGAAACGUGUGCUAAUACCGUAUACGCCCUUUGGGGGAAAGAUUUAUCGGGGAAGGAUGAGCCCGCGUUGGAUUAGCUAGUUGGUGGGGUAAAGGCCUACCAAGGCGACGAUCCAUAGCUGGUCUGAGAGGAUGAUCAGCCACAUUGGGACUGAGACACGGCCCAAACUCCUACGGGAGGCAGCAGUGGGGAAUAUUGGACAAUGGGCGCAAGCCUGAUCCAGCCAUGCCGCGUGAGUGAUGAAGGCCCUAGGGUUGUAAAGCUCUUUCACCGGUGAAGAUAAUGACGGUAACCGGAGAAGAAGCCCCGGCUAACUUCGU
rnacentral:rRNA from 1 species